rnacentral:rRNA from 1 species
UACGGGGGGGGCAAGCGUUGUUCGGAAUUACUGGGCGUAAAGGGCUUGUAGGCGGCCAACUAAGUCAAACGUGAAAUCCCUCGGCUUAACCGGGGAACUGCGCUUGAUACUGGAUGGCUUGAGAUUGGGAGAGGGAUGCGGAAUUCCAGGUGUAGCGGUGAAAUGCGUAGAUAUCAUUUGGAACGCCAAUGGUGAAAACAGGUAGCUGGGAGUGUGCUGACACUGAGACACGAAAGCCAGGGGAGCGAACGGG